UGCAGUCGAGCGAGUGAAUAAAACAGAUCCUUCGGGUGACGUUUUAUGGAUCUAGCGGCGGACGGGUGAGUAACACGUGGGCAACCUGCCUGUAAGACUGGGAUAACUCCGGGAAACCGGGGCUAAUACCGGAUAACUUCUGAUCUCACAUGAGAUCAGGAUAAAAGAUGGUUUCGGCUAUCACUUACAGAUGGGCCCGCGGCGCAUUAGCUAGUUGGUGAGGUAACGGCUCACCAAGGCAACGAUGCGUAGCCGACCUGAGAGGGUGAUCGGCCACACUGGGACUGAGACACGGCCCAGACUCCUACGGGAGGCAGCAGUAGGGAAUCUUCCGCAAUGGACGAAAGUCUGACGGAGCAACGCCGCGUGAGUGAUGAAGGUUUUCGGAUCGUAAAGCUCUGUUGUUAGGGAAGAACAAGUGCUAGAGUAACUGCUAGCACCUUGACGGUACCUAACCAGAAAGCCACGGCUAACUACGUGCCAGCAGCCGCGGUAAUACGUAGGUGGCAAGCGUUGUCCGGAAUUAUUGGGCGUAAAGCGCGCGCAGGCGGUUUCUUAAGUCUGAUGUGAAAGCCCACGGCUCAACCGUGGAGGGUCAUUGGAAACUGGGGAACUUGAGUGCAGAAGAGGAGAGCGGAAUUCCACGUGUAGCGGUGAAAUGCG
rnacentral:rRNA from 1 species